rnacentral:lncRNA from 1 species
UAAAAGUGUAACUGACUAAUGAUGCAUGCAUGCACCUUAAAUACUAAAACCCUAGAGUAAAAUAAUGCAUGGUUGGACAAGCCCAAACCGGCUACCAAAACUAGGCUAAGGACCGAGCCCAUGACGCAACACUAUAAGCCCAACAAAUUCAAUGUCCUUGGUUGUCAAUUCCUUCAUUUUAAUUGCUUGCUCCUUAUCCUUCUUCUUUCAUGUCCUGGACAACUUGUUGUUUCACAGCUUCAAGUUCCCUUUCUAAUUCUUUAGCUUCCCUCAACAUCAAUUUUUUAGCCUAUACCCAAGAUACUUGGUCAAUAUUUUCAUUUUAAAGAAAAUAUGUAAAAAUAAAAACUUACACAUUGAUUCAAUGAUAUCAUCUUUAGUUUAACUUCAAAAGGUUUCAACCCUUCAAAAUUUUCUUGUCUUGCUUCCAGUGCAACCUUUCUUUUAUUAGGCUGUGGACUUUUAUCCUUAGUUUCCAAAUUUCUC